GACGGAGGAUGCAAGUGUUAUCCGGAAUCACUGGGCGUAAAGCGUCUGUAGGUGGUUUAAUAAGUCAACUGUUAAAUCUUGUAGGCUCAACCUCAAAAUCGCAGUCGAAACUAAUUAGGCUAGAGUAAUAGUAGGGGUAAAGGGAAGUUCCAGUUGGAGCGGUGGAAAUGACGUAGAGAUUGGAAAGAACACCGAUGGCGAAGGCACUUUACUGGGCUAUUACUAACACUCAGAGACGAAAGCUAGGGUAGCAAAUGGGG
rnacentral:rRNA from 1 species